rnacentral:lncRNA from 1 species
AGUAAGUGUUAGUUUGGAAGUACUGUACAUACUUCUAUUGGCUUUUAAAUUAAGCGUGGUGCUUAGGUUAAAUAGCCUUCCUUAAUUUGAUUAGACAUGGAGUCUAGUUUGGUUACUGAGCUAAAAACUGCUUGUGUAGACAUUGGUAUAUUUUGUUGGACUAACCCCUGCAGGAAAACUUUCAAUAUCAACCUGAGAAGUCCUGAGAUACAAACUCAUUGGAGAUAGAGGAGACACAUGAAGUUUAACAAUUUGCACAAGAAGGACAUAGCUCAUUCAUCAUAGAGAGAUGACCCAUGGAAGGAGACAAAGUACAUAAACAAGAUACACACCCAUUACGAAUGGGAAGCUUCCACAAGGUGAGAUGGUACCAUCACUCUUCAAUUAAGGUAACAUCUUAAGAUAUGUGACUAUCACUUUUAUAAGCUUCUCCUUGGUUCUGGCAUUCACAUAAAAUAAAGAGACAAACAUGUAUGAUUUAUAACUCCAAAUUUACCAACCCAAUUAAUUCAACAUGUUUAGUCCUUUAAUCUUUGUUCUUAUUACUACCUUCGUGAUCCCACACUCCUAAUCAUAUAAGCUAAAAUAUUGCACAUUCAGUCUUUGGAAGAUAUAAACAUAAAUAUAGACAGAUUAUCUUUCCAUU